GCCCUAGUAACGGCGAGUGAAGCGGCAACAGCUCAAAUUUGAAAUCCGGGCCCGAGUUGUAAUUUGUAGAGGAUGCUUUUGGCGCGGCGCCUUCUGAGUUCCCUGGAACGGGACGCCAUAGAGGGUGAGAGCCCCGUACGGUUGGACGCUAAGCCUCUGUAAAGCUCCUUCGACGAGUCGAGUAGUUUGGGAAUGCUGCUCAAAAUGGGAGGUAAAUGCCUUCUAAAGCUAAAUACCGGCCAGAGACCGAUAGCGCACAAGUAGAGUGAUCGAAAGAUGAAAAGCACUUUGAAAAGAGGGUUAAAUAGCACGUGAAAUUGCUGAAAGGGAAGCGCUCAUGACCAGACGUGUGCCCUGUGAAUCAUCCAGCGUUCUCGCCGGUGCACUUCGCUUGGUACAGGCCAGCAUCGAUUUCUCCAGGGGGACAAAAGCCUCGGGAACGUAGCUCCUCCGGGAGUGUUAUAGCCCGUGGCAUAAUACCCUUGGGGGGAUCGAGGCCCGCGCUCCGCAAGGAUGCUGGCGUAAUGGUCAUCAGCGACCCGUCUUGAAACACGGACCAAGGAGUCAAGCAUUAGGGCGAGUGUUUGGGUGUCAAACCCGCACGCGUAAUGAAAGUGAACGUAGGUGAGAGCUCGGCGCAUCAUCGACCGAUCCUGAUGUAUUCGGAUGGAUUUGAGUAAGAGCCUUACCGCUUGGACCCGAAAGAUGGUGAACUAUGCCUGGAUAGGGUGAAGCCAGAGGAAACUCUGGUGGAGGCUCGCAGCGGUUCUGACGUGCAAAUCGAUCGUCAAAUCUGGGCAUGGGGGCGAAAGACUAAUCGAACCAUUC
rnacentral:rRNA from 1 species